CUUUAUUUUAGGUGGCAAGAGUGAGGGUGAGUAAUUUGGCAGUUCAAGUGCAGACCCGGUGAAGAUCACUUGAUGCCGGACAGGCAACAGCAGAUACUUGGAAACAGGAUCAGAAGACUCACUGGCAGAUCAGAGGGAUACAAGGGCACUGGCGAUAGGAAAUGUAACAGGAGUCCUGGAGACAACAGAAUGUGGACAUAGAAGAUAGAAGCAUUCAGAAUAAUAGACUUGAGAAGCCUGACUUCCAGAAAAGCAGAUACUACUUCUCCAAACAGGAGUAGGAAAACAAAGGUGUGUGGCAUAAAACAAAAAUACUUUGUGAAAUUACAUUUAAACAAUUCGUCUUUUGUGUAUAAUACAGCAUGUGGGCAUAUUUUGUGUUUUUCUGAUGCUCCUGUCACUCCACUUCUCAGGUCGUCAUACAUCUCCCAAACACAUGGAGACCUCCUGCAGGAGGCCACAUAAUGUCCACACUGUUAGAAAUUGCUGUAAAUUUACAGCACAUUUUCAACAGUAUAAUCCUGUUAUGUUCAAAAGCAGUACAUUGCCGUUUUUUUGUUUUUGUGAAAUGACGUAGACAAAGUAUAACAGCAUUUUAACGUAUUUAUUGCUCGAAGGAAACAAAACCGUAUUUAACAGUAUAUUUUGCUAGCCUACGGAAGACUGCAGUGAGCACGCAUGGAUUUUUCCAUAAUGAUAUUCAUACUGAUGAUAGGUGAAUUUUUGUUUUGGUCGUUGAAAUAUAUUACAUCUUCUGCAAUUGUAAUUAACUUGUAUUUGUGGAUAUUGUAGCCUAACUGUAAUUUUU